rnacentral:rRNA from 1 species
AGAGUUUGCUUAUGGCUCAGGAUGAACGCUAGCGGCAGGCUUAAUACAUGCAAGUCGGACGGCAGCACGGGCAGCAAUCUGGUGGCGAGUGGCGCACGGGUGCUAACACGUAUGCAACCUACCCUGUACCGGGACACAACCCUCCGAAAGGGGGCUAAUAUCCCAUGACAUUGCGGAUGGGCAUCCAUUUGCAAUUAAAGAUUCAUUGGUACAGGAUGGGCAUGCGUCCCAUUAGCUAGUUGGAGGGGUAACGGCCCACCAAGGCGACGAUGGGUAGGGGUUCUGAGAGGAAGGUCCCCCACACUGGUACUGAGACACGGACCAGACUCCUACGGGAGGCAGCAGUAAGGAAUAUUGGGCAAUGGUCGGAAGACUGACCCAGCCAUGCCGCGUGCAGGAAGACGGCCCUAUGGUUGUAAACUGCUUUUGUCGGGGAAUAAACCUGCCCACGUGCUGACUGAAGGUACCCGGCGAAUAAGCAUCGGCUAACUCCGUGCCAGCAGCCGCGGUAAUACGGAGGAUGCAAGCGUUAUCCGGAUUCACUGGGUUUAAAGGGUGCGCAGGCGGGAUGAUAAGUCAGAGGUGAAAUCCUACGGCUCAACUGUAGAACUGCCUUUGAUACUGUCGUUCUUGAGUAAAGUUGGAGUGGGCGGAAUGUGUUGUGUAGCGGUGAAAUGCUUAGAUAUAACACAGAGCACCGAUCGCGAAGGCAGCUCACUAAGCUUUAACUGACGCUCAUGCACGAAAGCGUGGGGAUCAAACAGGAUUAGAUACCCUGGUAGUCCACGCUGUAAACGAUGAUCACUCGCUGUUGGCGAUACACUGCCAGUGGCUAAGCGAAAGUGAUAAGUGAUCCACCUGGGGAGUACGAUCGCAAGAUUGAAACUCAAAGGAAUUGACGGGGGCCCGCACAAGCGGAGGAGCAUGUGGUUUAAUUCGAUGAUACGCGAGGAACCUUACCAGGGCUCGAACGCGGGGGGAAUCACGUGGAAACGCGUGAGCCAGCAAUGGCCGCCUGCGAGGUGCUGCAUGGUUGUCGUCAGCUCGUGCCGUGAGGUGUCAGGUUAAGUCCUAUAACGAGCGCAACCCCUAUCCUUAGUUGCCAGCAAGUAAAGUUGGGGACUCUAAGGAAACUGCCUACGCAAGUAGUGAGGAAGGUGGGGAUGACGUCAAAUCAGCACGGCCCUUAUGUCCUGGGCUACACACGUGCUACAAUGGUCGGUACAGAGGGCAGCUACCGGGCGACCGGAUGCUAAUCUCGAAAGCCGAUCUCAGUUCGGAUCGGAGUCUGCAACCCGACUCCGUGAAGUUGGAUUCGCCAGUAAUCGCACAUCAGCCAUGGCGCGGUGAAUACGUUCCCGGGCCUUGUACACACCGCCCGUCAAGCCAUGGGAGCUGGGGGGACCUAAAGUUCGUGACCGAAUAGGAGCGACCUAGGGUAAAAUCAGUGACUGGGGCUAAGUCGUAACAAGGUAACC